rnacentral:rRNA from 1 species
UACGUAGGUGGCAAGCGUUACUCGGAAUCACUAGGCGUAAAGCGCAGGUAGGCGGUUUGAUAAGUCUGUUGUGAAAGCUCCCGGCUUAACUGGGAGAGGUCAACGGAAACUAUCAGGCUAGAGUGUGGUAGAGGUAGCUGGAAUUCCCGGUGUAGCGGUGAAAUGCGUAGAUAUCGGGAGGAAUACCUAUGGCGAAAGCAGGCUACUGGACCAUCACUGACGCUGAGGAGCGAAAGCCAGGGGAGCAAACGGG